rnacentral:rRNA from 1 species
UAUUACAAUGACUCUCGGCAACGGAUAUCUCGGCUCUUGCAUCGAUGAAGAACGUAGCGAAAUGCGAUACUUGGUGUGAAUUGCAGAAUCCCGUGAACCAUCGAGUCUUUGAACGCAAGUUGCGCCCGAAGCCAUUAGGCCGAGGGCACGCCUGCCUGGGUGUCACAC